rnacentral:rRNA from 1 species
AUUGAACGCUGGUGGCAGGCUUACAACAUGCAAGUCGAGCGGAGCGGCGGACGGGUGAGUAAUGCUUAGGAAUCUGCCUGGUAGUGGGGGAUAACGUCCGGAAACGGGCGCUAAUACCGCAUACUAUCAGAUGAGCCUAGCUCGGCUUAGCUAGUUGGUGGGGUAAAGGCCUACCAAGGCGACGAUCCGUGACUGGUCUGAGAGGAUGAUCAGUCAAACUGGAGCUGAGACUCGGUCCAUGCUCCUACGUGAGGCAGCAGUGGGGAAUAUUGGACAUUGGGCGAAAGCCUGAUCCAGCCAUGCCUCGUGUGUGAAGAAGAUCUUCGGAUUGUAAAGCACUUUAAGUUGGGAGGCGUUACCAGCAGAAUGAGCACCGACUAACUUCGUGCCAGCAGCCGCGGUAAUAC